rfam:Physcomitrella patens subsp. patens PHYPAscaffold_14 genomic scaffold, whole genome shotgun sequence.
UAAGAGGCUUUUAUAAAAGCCAUAUUCAAAUAUCUUGAAUUAAUAU